GGUUAACGCUGGCGGCGCGCAUAACACAUGCAAGUCGAGCGAGGGCUUAUUUCCCGCAAGGGAGAUGAGUUCCUAGCGGCGAACGGGUGAGUAACACGUGGGCAACCUUUCCCAUCGCGGGGGAUAACAGCGGGAAACCGCUGCUAAUACCGCAUGUCGUCACCGGUCGCAUGGCCGGUGAAGAAAGCAGCGAUGCACGAUGGGGUGGGCCCGCGGCCUAUCAGCUAGUCGGUGGGGUAACGGCCUACCGAGGCGAUGACGGGUAGCUGGUCUGAGAGGACGACCAGCCACACGGGGACUGAGACACGGCCCCGACUCCUACGGGAGGCAGCAGUGAGGAAUCUUCCGCAAUGGGCGAAAGCCUGACGGAGCGACGCCGCGUGUGGGAUGAAGUCUUUCGGGAUGUAAACCACUGUCGGAGGGGAAGACAUCGACGGUACCCUCCAAGAAAGCCCCGGCUAACUACGUGC
rnacentral:rRNA from 1 species